rnacentral:rRNA from 1 species
UACGUAGGGUGCGAGCGUUGUCCGGAAUUAUUGGGCGUAAAGAGCUCGUAGGCGGUUUGUCGCGUCGGCCGUGAAAACUUGGGGCUUAACCCCAAGCUUGCGGUCGAUACGGGCAGACUUGAGUUCGGCAGGGGAGACUGGAAUUCCUGGUGUAGCGGUGAAAUGCGCAGACAUCAGGAGGAACACCGGUGGCGAAGGCGGGUCUCUGGGCCGAUACUGACGCUGAGGAGCGAAAGCGUGGGGAGCGAACAGG